UACAGAGGGGCAAGCGUUGUUCGGAAUUACUGGGCGUAAAGGGCGCGUAGGCGGCCUGUUAAGUCGAACGUGAAAUCCCCGGGCUCAACCUGGGAACUGCAUCUGUGACUGCAUCGCUGGAGUGCGGCAGAGGGGGAUGGAAUUCCGCGUGUAGCAGUGAAAUGCGUAGAUAUGCGGAGGAACACCGAUGGCGAAGGCAAUCCCCUGGGCCUGCACUGACGCUCAUGCACGAAAGCGUGGGGAGCAAACAGG
rnacentral:rRNA from 1 species